rnacentral:rRNA from 1 species
GACAGAGGAUGCAAGCGUUAUCCGGAAUGAUUGGGCGUAAAGCGUCUGUAGGUGGCUUUUAAGUCCGCCGUCAAAUCCCAGGGCUCAACUCUGGACAGGCGGUGGAAACUACCAAGCUGGAGUACGGUAGGGGCAGAGGGAAUUUCCGGUGGAGCGGUGAAAUGCGUAGAGAUCCGGAGGAACACCAAAGGCGAAGGCAGUGUCCUGGGGAGUACCUGACGCUCAGGUGCGAAAGCCAGGGGAGCGAACGGG